rnacentral:lncRNA from 1 species
AUUAUUCACAGACAUUUCUUUCCUCUUCCCUCACUGCCUCUCCAGACACUGUGUCCCUAGGAUGUUCCUUGUUCGGAAUCCAGCCUCAUCAGCCAUCCCACGGCCCGACAGAAGCAUCCUGACAUCAUCAAUCCACAAGAGACCAAACGUCUGCUGAGCCCAGAAUGAAUCAGACAAGAGAAAGGUUAGGCGGCCAGGGGGAGCUAAAAGCCCCUAAAAGUUUAAAGAGAUCCUACCAAAUGGGUGGUUGGCUCCCACAGAGAUUAGUUUUAAUCAAUUAUUAAGCAAUAGUUUAAUAUUUUAAGAGUCUGCUCAAUCACAGAGAAAUGAAAACAUUUCAUGACUUUUUUCCCUACAUCUUCCAAAGCAAAAAAUGUAAAGCAAGUGUACCUCCA